GACGUAGGGCGCGAGCGUUGUCCGGAUUUAUUGGGCGUAAAGGGUGCGUAGGCGGCGCGGUAAGUCGGGUGUGAAAUCUCGGAGCUUAACCCCGAAACUGCAUUCGAUACUGCCGUGCUUGAGGACUGGAGAGGAGACUGGAAUUUACGGUGUAGCGGUGAAAUGCGUAGAUAUCGUAAGGAAGACCAGUGGCGAAGGCGGGUCUCUGGACAGUUCCUGAAGCUGAGGCACGAAGGUCAGGGAGCAAACGGG
rnacentral:rRNA from 1 species